GACGAACGCUGGCGGCGUGCUUAACACAUGCAAGUCGAGAGGUAAGGCCCUUUCGGGGGUACGACGAGCGGCGAACGGGUGAGUAACACGUGGGUGACCUGCCCUCAGCUCUGGGAUAAGCCUGGGAAACCGGGUCUAAUACUGGAUAUGACUCCAUGACGCAUGUUGUGGGGUGGAAAGCCUUGUGCGGCUGAGGAUGGGCCCGCGGCCUAUCAGCUUGUUGGUGGGGUGAGGCCUACCAAGGCGACGACGGGUAGCCGGCCUGAGAGGGCGACCGGCCACACUGGGACUGAGGCACGGCCCAGACUCCUACGGGAGGCAGCAGUGGGGAAUCUUGCGCAAUGGGCGAAAGCCUGACGCAGCGACGCCGCGUGAGGGAUGAC
rnacentral:rRNA from 1 species